rnacentral:rRNA from 1 species
UAGAGUUUGAUCAUGGCUCAGGAUGAACGCUAGCGGCAGGCCUAACACAUGCAAGUCGAACGGUAACAGGGUAGCAAUAUCGCUGACGAGUGGCGCACGGGUGAGUAACGCGUAUGUAAUCUGCCUUUAACCGGGGGAUAGCUCCGAGAAAUCGGGAUUAAUACCCCAUAACAUCAUGAAAAUGCAUGUUUUUAUGAUUAAAACUCUGGUGGUUAGAGAUGAGCAUGCGUGCCAUUAGCUAGUUGGUAGGGUAAUGGCCUACCAAGGCUACGAUGGCUAAGGGGUCUUAAAGGAUGAUCCCUCACACUGGUACUGAGACACGGACCAGACUCCUACGGGAGGCAGCAGUGAGGAAUAUUGGUCAAUGGGCGCAAGCCUGAACCAGCCAUGCCGCGUGCAGGAUGAAUGCUCUACGAGUUGUAAACUGCUUUUUUACGGGAAUAAACUCUUGUACUUGUACGGGACUGAAUGUACCGUAUGAAUAAGGAUCGGCUAACUCCGUGCCAGCAGCCGCGGUAAUACGGAGGAUCCAAGCGUUAUCCGGAUUUAUUAGGUUUAAAGGGUGCGUAGGCGGAAUAUUAAGUCAGUGGUGAAAUCCUGUAGCUUAACUGUAGAAUUGCCAUUGAUACUGAUGUUCUUGAGUAUAGUUGAGGUGGGUGGAAUGUGUCAUGUAGCGGUGAAAUGCUUAGAUAUGACACAGAACACCGAUUGUGAAGGCAGCUCACCAAAGUAUAACUGACGCUGAGGCACGAAAGCGUAGGUAGCAAACAGGAUUAGAUACCCUGGUAGUCCACGCCCUAAACGAUGAUUACUCGACAUACGUGAUACACAAUGUGUGUCUGAGCGAAAGCAUUAAGUAAUCCACCUGGGAAGUACGACCGCAAGGUUGAAACUCAAAGGAAUUGACGGGGGUCCGCACAAGCGGUGGGGCAUGUGGUUUAAUUCGAUGAUACGCGAGGAACCUUACCUGGGCUAGAAUGCUGGGGGACCGUGGGUGAAAGCUCACUUUGUAGCAAUACACCGCCAGUAAGGUGCUGCAUGGCUGUCGUCAGCUCGUGCCGUGAGGUGUUGGGUUAAGUCCCGCAACGAGCGCAACCCCUAUCUUUAGUUGCCAACAGGUUAAGCUGGGAACUCUAAAGAAACUGCCGUCGUAAGACGCGAGGAAGGAGGGGAUGAUGUCAAGUCAUCAUGGCCUUUAUGCCCAGGGCUACACACGUGCUACAAUGGGGCGUACAAAGGGCUGCCACUUAGUGAUAAGGAGCGAAUCCCAAAAAACGCCUCUCAGUUCGAAUCGGAGUCUGCAACUCGACUCCGUGAAGCCGGAAUCGCUAGUAAUGGAAGAUCAGCACGCUUCCGUGAAUACGUUCCCGGGUCUUGUACACACCGCCCGUCAAGCGAUGGGAGCCAGGGGUACCUUAAGUCCUACGUAGGUAGGCCCAAGGUAAAACUGGUGACUGGCGCUAAGUCGUAACAAGGUAACCGUAA